rnacentral:tRNA from 1 species
GCCUUCUUAGCUCAGUGGUAGAGCGUUGGUCUCGUAAGAUAAUCAAACAGAUUAACAGAUAACCAAAGGUCGAGAGUUCAAUCCUCUCAGGAGGCA